rnacentral:rRNA from 1 species
AACGAACGCUGGCGGCAUGCCUAACACAUGCAAGUCGAACGAGACCUUCGGGUCUAGUGGCGCACGGGUGCGUAACGCGUGGGAACCUGCCCUUAGGUUCGGAAUAACUCCCCGAAAGGGGUGCUAAUACCGGAUAAUGUCUUCGGACCAAAGAUUUAUCGCCUUUGGAUGGGCCCGAGUUGGAUUAGCUAGUUGGUAGGGUAAAAGCCUACCAAGGCGACGAUCCAUAGCUGGUCUGAGAGGAUGAUCAGCCACACUGGGACUGAGACACGGCCCAGACUCCUACGGGAGGCAGCAGUGGGGAAUAUUGGACAGUGGGCGAAAGCCUGAUCCAGCAAUGCCGCGUGAGUGAUGAAGGCCUUAGGGUUGUAAAGCUCUUUUACCCGGGAUGAUAAUGACAGUACCGGGAGAAUAAGCUCCGGCUAACUCCGUG